rnacentral:ncRNA from 1 species
UAGACGAAACACGGGAGCUUGUUCUAUACAGGCUGAGAGGGCGAAAGCCGACCGUAAACCUGAUGCGGGUAAUGCCGCCGUAGGGAAGGAGUAUUAUGCGAAAU